rnacentral:rRNA from 1 species
UAGCCGUAAACGAUACUCGCUAGGUGUCGGCCACGGUGCGACCGUUGUCGGUGCCGUAGGGAAGCCGUGAAGCGAGCCACCUGGGAAGUACGGCCGCAAGGCUGAAACUUAAAGGAAUUGGCGGGGGAGCACCACAACGGGUGGAGCUUGCGGUUUAAUUGGAUUCAACGCCGGAAAUCUUACCGGGACCGACAGCAAUAUGAAGGCCAGGCUGAAGACUUUGCCGGAUUAGCUGAGAGGUGGUGCAUGGCGUAGACGUCU